CUUGAGUAUGAAGUAACACGCAAAGAGAAGCUCCCAUCUGAGGCCUCAGAUUAUUGUCUGAGGAUUCGGUCUCAGUCCCAAAGCUCUACCUCGCCUCCAGGUGACUGUAACCAGACUAAUGGGGUCGAGGAGGGGGUGCCUGUGGGGGAUAAACUAGUGGUUCUUCAGUACGGUAUCCAGAGGGAAAAAGAAUUCGAGCAGGUGAGAUCACAAUACUUGUUUAAGCUACAAGAAAUCCGUUACGAAAACGGUAUAUACUGUUUUGGGAACGUAUAUUCGAACAAAUCGGCCACGUUCGAACUUUGUUAUAGGAACACACGGUAAAGCAACUCCGGUAAAGUUCCGUCAAUAUAUAUAUGGUUAUAUAUGUAACAGAAAGGGCAGGAGGGUCUGUCAAAACGGUAAAGGGAAACCUGUUAAGCGCUGUUGGGGUCAUAUAUAAAUAAAUAAUAAUAAUAGGCAUUCAUUAAUAAAUAUAUGUAUAUGUGUGUAGUAACAAGGAGGUUACGGGGAUAUUAGAUAAUUCGUUAAAUAAUAACUAGUGUAAAAGGAUAAAUUUAAUAUUAUAUAUAGUUAUUUUAAACAACGGGCUGUUGUAGACAGUGGAUACUAGAUUAUUACAAUCUAUCACAACCAGUUUAAUGGUCAACCAUAUCACACAGCCAUGACAUGACCCAGACUAACCCCGACUGACCCCCGACUUUCAACGUGACGGGGACAACAGAAGUGUGUUGCCUAAUAUUGAAAAUGCAGAUUUUUAUAUUAUGAUAUUUUGUUAAUGUUUUAUGGCCAAAAUGGCAACAAGGUGAAUUGACGAACGUAUGAGAGAGAUUGGAAGAAGUAUGUGUUAUGGAAGGAGAAGAGAUAGAUGAGAAUGGAAGGCAAGACAAGAUAAGGAAAGGGGUGGGGAGAAAGAUAACCCAUCUGCAUCGAGUUUUGUUCAAAUAGAUCCGGACCUGGACAACGCUCCUCCUUCUCCUGCUUUCAGCCCGACCAGUGGCCCAAUACAGUGCAAAUACCCCACGUCACGACUCCUCUUCAUCAGACUUUAUGAAGUUACAGACCAUGGGAGGCCCACCUGAAGAGCUACGGAACGGUCUGCUGGACGACACAAGGAGACAGUCCAGCAGGACCAACAGCACCAGAGUGGUGGCCUCCAUGGUGCCUCUGUAGCCACAUUGAAGUGGCCUGAACAAAGAGACAAAGGAGGGUCUCAGAGACGGGAGAGACGUGGGGACAGGCACUUCAAAGGACAGCCCGUAAUGCGGAUGAGAGGCAGGAAGCAGAGAGAGAGGUGGAGGCGUGUCCAGGCGGAGGGAGAGAAGAGCAGUGUACGGAAAGUAUCGCACUAGACACAGCAUUCACGUAUAUUACAAGAGACGAGAUCUAAUGUGUAACUAGGACUGUCUAUAUGAGUGUGUGAUAGUUUCUAAGAAGUAUAUCUGAAAGGUUUGAAAGUUAUUAGGAAAAGUAGUUUGAAGGAUCAAAGACAAGUAGAAAAGUUGAAGGUUAAAGAAAUGUUUUUUUUUCAGAAUUAAAGUAGAAGGUUUUUGGUGCGCUCGCAACAGAAAGCCAUGCUUACAGGCCUGGGCUUUCCCUUAUUAUGGUAAAUUGAUGCAUGGGAAAGUCCAUGCGUCAAGAGGGGGGAUGGGGAGCCCACUACAACAACCUUGGGUAUACCAAAGCAAACCAAAGGAAAUGAUUACUCAGAAAAAAAAAUGAAACAAACCCCAUGUAGGUCCCUCAGAGACAUCAUGAAGGACAAUGGGAAAGAGAAGAAGAAUAACGUUUAAAUUUUGGGUUAUACUGUGUGUUAUUAAUACUGACUGCAUUGACAAUCAAUGUUUAGAGUAGUAAACAUUAAGUGCUUGCCAACUACUCAUGUGUUUGUAUCACGGAAGCAGCAUUAAGGACAAAUCAAAUAAGAAUAUUUUUUGUUUAGAAAUGUUUUUAAAAGGUAGCCUUGUUUCUUUGUUUUAGUUUUUUUGGUUUUUAUUUUUAUGAUUUUUGAAUAUAUGGAAACAGAUGACUUGAUUGUGAUGUUUAUGUAGAUAAUUAUCAAAAGGGGGGAUUCCCAAAGAAAUUAUCCAGUGACAAUGGUUCACAUUUGGUGAACCAAGUCAUCCAACAGAAUUGAUCCACGCAACCAUUGUGCGUACCACCCUCGGAGUGGUGGGACAGUAGAGAGGGAGAGUGGUCCCGUAGAGAACAACGUCUACGGGACAAAAAGCCAAGGCAACUGCAGAUACAGCCCAAGGAAGGGCAACUCAACGAUACAUGGAUUACUAUCGAAGACGUGCCU
ensembl:lncRNA